GCAGUGCUGAUGUGACUCUCGUCUUCUUCAAAUGAUCUAGCUAAUCCAAAAUCAGCUAUUUUGGCUCGAAGCUUGGAGUCUAGCAGGAUGUUGCUAGCCUUGAUGUCUCUGUGAAUGAUCUUGUUUUUCGAGUUCUCAUGAAGCGGUCCAGACUCUUGUUGGCAAGGUAUUCAUAGACAAGCAGACUUUCAGGUCCCGAACAACUACAACCAAGCAAGCGUACUAAAUUUUUGUGCUCUACACUACUGAUUAUGUUUACUUCAUUGUAAAAAUCUGCUGCUCUAUGUUUGUUAUUGAAGAAAAGCCUCUUCACAGCUAUCUCUCUUCCAUCCGACAGAACUCCCUAUAUCAACAUGGUAAAAACCUCAGAGUUCUAGCUAUAUUAAUUCAAAUGCAUGUUCGAACUGAAGCAAACAAAACAAGACUUACCUUAUAAACAGUGCCAAAUCCUCCUUGUCCAAGCUUGUUAGCCUCAGCAAAGGAUCCCGUUGCCUUUUCAAGGGUAGAGUACUUGAAAUUCAAGCUACUAUUGUUUAGUGUUUUUGCCAUCUUGUUUGCAUCGUUUGAACCUUUGGAUUGGAUAUAUAAAUAAAUGGUAAUCAGGUGAACAAGCUUAGAGAUCUCGAAGAAUGCAUACUCCUGUCUAGCUAGGAGUAAUUAAUUUUUUCCUUCUUUUUUUUCAAGUUCUUGGUACUUAAACCAACAACAAAUAGAAAGGCAGUGUUUUAAA